UAUGCUAUUUAUAUGAGUUUUGAUUUGUUGUUUGCUACACAAAUACUCCAUUUCAACAAAUUUUGCUUAGCCUUUAUAGUAAAAAAUUUCAAGCAGGCUGUCAUUGUAUUAACGAUAUAUAAAUUAUCACCACUCACACCUUUCUUUUUUCCUACUUUCAUUUGAUCUCUUCUUAAAGUAUCUAUUUUAAAGUGAUGUACAGUUAUUUAGACCAUUUUCUGAAGUAUUUUUCAUAGAUGAUGUAACUAAAAUUGGGAGUCCUUAGUUUUUGUUUCAGGUCCAUGGGUAAAUUAUCAUUUAUCUGUCCAUAAGAUUCUUUGGCCUUUUUUGCCCAAUGAUCUACUAACAUUUUUAAACUACCAAUUUUAAUAUAUUUCUUUGAAAUAGAAAUAAAUUGUUUCAUCUAUUUGAAAGAUUCUAGUUUUUAAAAAAAAUGCUCAAAAUUCCAAAAUCCUGGAAGAUCGUCAGUCUAGCUCUCCCUUCCACCAAGACUCACAUAGGCACACACUCAAAAUUUAUUCUGUCUUUUUUUCCUGGGCAUAUACUUGUUUAGCUUUUCUACUUCUCUAGCUUUUUUGGUGAUUGGGCUGAAUCAAGUGUCUGCCAAAGGAGCACAGUUGGAGAGAUGCAUACAUCCUUCGUUUCACACGUCUUCAAAGAUAACGGCUGCUCAUGACUUAUUUUCUCUCCCCGUGGGCUGGAGCACAGAGAGGGUGGCCGCCAAGCUGAUGAGGACAAAGCCCUUGGGGAUGGUGUUAACCACGAUACAGCAGAAACCACCUUCCUGAUUUAUCUCGUGAAACAGACUUUCCCCUCCAGGUUACAGUAGUCAGACUGCCUGAAUUAUUAAUCAAUUCCCUAUUCAUCAACCAAAUUCCACUGUGGGAUUGCUGUGUGCUCAGCGAUUAACAGGUCCUUGUGGUGCAAUGAUGGACCACACCAUGAGAAUGUAUUCUGCUCACAACGAGCUUACAACACAUGUAGUCAAGGAAGACAUGGGGGCAAGCAACUGGAAGUGCUGAGAAGAUGUGAAGAAUGACGUGGAAGGGAAUGUUAAUCUGGUUCAUCGGAUGCAAAGACGGUGGAGGUAAGAAAACCUUCCUUGAAGAGGAGGCAUUUAAACUAAAAUCUGAAGAAGAAAGGAUGAGAAGGGGCAGGGUGGGUCCUCCGUGGACGUGGUGGGAAGUCCCAGGGAGAGGAUGGCUGCAGAGGAGAAAAGCAAGAGAUGGUGUAA